rnacentral:lncRNA from 1 species
AAUCACACAACACAGAGAAAAUGAGAAAGGGGUUAACCAGUUCAGGCGGUUGACCUAGAUAAAUUAUCAGAAAUGGCUAAUUGCUGCUGUUGUUGUGCUUCGAGAGGAGUGGAAUUGAACGGUUCACCUUCAUUCUGUCGUGUAAGUGUUAAUCCUCAUUCCAAAUGCCAUUUACCUUGUAAUUUCUGAGUAGUCUAAUUACAGCUUUCUGGUUCAAAGUCUCUUUGAAGAUUGAAAUUUGUUGUUAGAGCAGAAUUUGAGUUUUGGUCCCUUUGUUUACAUCUUUAGUCUUUCUGCUACCGGAUUUUCAUAUUUAAUUUAACCUUCAACUCGUUAGUGUUUGUUGAUUAACUCCAAUCUUAAACUGGAAUAGCUAACUUUAGCAAUUAUAUUGACCCACGGAUAUGUUGCUGGUGCAUGAUAUUUGCCAGAGGUUCUGUUGUCUCUAAGGCUCAUUUUUUGAUUGGAAGCAGAAAUUUUGUUACAUACAUAUUCUUUUAACAAAAUUAUUUUAUUUAAAAGAACGCUUAAAGAAUGAAUAUGCCCCUUUAUGCAAGGCAAGCAUGAGAAUGUUACUGAUAAAUAGAAUUCUGGAAUUAGCUAUUCUAGCUGUAUUAGACCAAGUCUGUAAAGUUUGUGAAUCGGAAGUUAAAUGUGUGACGUCGAAUAUUGAGGGACCAAAGGUGCGAAGAGGGUAUGAAGAUGAACCAAAGCUGGCACCUUUCUCUCGUUAUUUUUAUUCAAAACCAUGCCAACUCCACUUUUCUGAAUUAUAGUAUGUUCUAAAAUUUUAAUAGGGAAUAACUAGUAAAUUUGGUGUGCUAUUUUAGGGAGAAGUCUGAAAGUAAAAAAGAAUUUGGGCACCAGCUGAUAUCGUCAAUUUUCAGUCUGGUGAGUGUCCACUGUCUAGAAGCAUUACUCAACAAUGUCUUGUUCAUGCUUCACAGGUUGAUAAACGUGGUUCCUGAACUCAUUCCUGUGUAUGUUGCAUGUUGUGGCAUCAUAUAACAACCUGGAUAUAGUUAC